CGUGAGAAUCUGGCUUCAGGUCGGGGACAACAGUUGGAAACGACUGCUAAUACCGGAUGUGCCGAAAGGUGAAAGAUUAAUUGCCUGAAGAUGAGCUCGCGUCUGAUUAGCUAGUUGGUGUGGUAAGAGCGCACCAAGGCGACGAUCAGUAGCUGGUCUGAGAGGAUGAUCAGCCACACUGGGACUGAGACACGGCCCAGACUCCUACGGGAGGCAGCAGUGGGGAAUUUUCCGCAAUGGGCGAAAGCCUGACGGAGCAAUACCGCGUGAGGGAGGAAGGCUCUUGGGUUGUAAACCUCUUUUCUCAGGGAAUAAAAAAAUGAAGGUACCUGAGGAAUAAGCAUCGGCUAACUCCGUGCCAGCAGCCGCGGUAAUACGGAGGAUGCAAGCGUUAUCCGGAAUGAUUGGGCGUAAAGGGUCCGCAGGUGGCAGUGUAAGUCUGCUGUCAAAGAAUGAGGCUUAACCUCAUCAAGGCAGUGGAAACUACACAGCUAGAGUACGGUCGGGGUAGAAGGAAUUCCUGGUGUAGCGGUGAAAUGCGUAGAGAUCAGGAAGAACACCGGUGGCGAAAGCGUUCUGCUAGACCUGUACUGACACUGAGGGACGAAAGCUAGGGGAGCGAAUGGGAUUA
rnacentral:rRNA from 1 species